UACGUAGGGGGCUAGCGUUGUCCGGAUUUAUUGGGCGUAAAGAGCGUGUAGGCGGCCAGGUAGGUCUGCUGUGAAAACUCGAGGCUCAACCUCGAGACGUCGGCGGAAACCAUCUGGCUAGAGUCCGGAAGAGGAGAGUGGAAUUCCUGGUGUAGCGGUGAAAUGCGCAGAUAUCAGGAAGAACACCAGUGGCGAAGGCGGCUCACUGGUCCGGUACUGACGCUGAGGUGCGAAAGCGUGGGGAGCAAACAGG
rnacentral:rRNA from 1 species